UGCAAAUAUCUGUUCUAGCCCUCAUUUUCAACUCCUUUGGAUAUAUACCCAGAUGUGGGAUUGCUGGAUCAUAUGGUAAUUCUAUGUUUUAGUUUUUGAGAACACACCAUACUAUUUUCCAUAGCAGCUGCAGCAUUCCCACAGCAAUGUACAAAGGUUACAAUUUCUCAACAUCCUCACUAAUGACGCGGAACUUUCUCCUUAGUUCAGCUAAAACCAGGCUCUUGUCACAUGACCAGGAAAGAUUAGGCUUGCAGGCACGUAGAAGGGUGAGGAAAACGGAAAUAAUUGGACAAAAAGGAAAAAGGCCAAAUAACUCUUAGCAAAGAGAAAGAGAGAGUCCUGCUAGCAGAUUUACCGCCUCACAGAUUGAAUCCCAGGUCACCACACAGGACCAGGACAGGACAGGCUCCUCCUCGCUGCAAAUGCCAUGAACUUCCUGAGGCUCCACACCGUCCCCUCAGUGUGCAGGCUGUACAGGGAGCAUGGAUGCAUCUGCUUCUGGGGAGACCUGAGGGAGCUUUUAUUCAUGGUAGAAGACAAAGCAGGAGCAGACAUCUUACAUGGAAGAAGUAAGUGUGUGUGUGUGUGUGUGUGAGAGAGAGAGAGAGAGAGAGAGAGAGAGAGAGAGAGAGAGAGAGAGAGAGAGGGAGAGAGAUACGAGAGAGAGAAAGAGAGGAGAGAGAGAAGAGAGGGAUAUGGGGGUGUGUCAGACAUGUUUAAAUAACCAAAUCUCAUGAAAAUGCACUAUUGGGAUGAUAGCACAAAGCUGGGUGGUGUUAAACCAUGAGAAACCACCCCCAUGAUGCAAUCACCUUCCAGCAGGCCCUACCUCCAGCACUGGGAAUUACAUUUCAACAUGAGAUUUGGGUAGGGGCGCAAAUCCAAACCAUAUCACACAGUUACCCAGCUCGUUUUCUUAAUUGAAGACAAAAAUGCAGAAAACAUUUACAUUCUGCUGAGAAUUAAUCAUCUCAUAAAACUGAAACAGAUAGUGGUAUCCUGGCUUCAGGUAUGGGUGGCUCCAAGUUUUCAAACAAUGUCCCAACUUUGCUUUUCUUGGGUUGGCACCAUUUUUAGUUAGCAUUUCUCUUUUUGAUAAUGAGAUGAGUCCUGUUGGCUCUUAAAUUACUUCUUACCCUCUCAGCAUCUCCAAGCAGAAGAUAGGUUCUCUUUUCCUUAUAGCUCUAAGAAAGCCCCUGUGUAAUCUUUUGUCUUAAAACUGACUACAUUGUUGGCCCUAUGGAUGAGAAAACAUCAGGGGGUCAGCUGAAGUGCUUUCUUUGUUAGGCAGACACAUUCUCUGAUGAGCAACAAUGGUCAGUACUGAUACCUGCUAUAUACUAUGGAUUUAUUUCUUCCCAUCAUUAACUUGCUUCAACUCUUACAUGGAGGAGCUACUUAUCCUGAUGGUACAUCAUUCAGAGCCUCAUGACAAUCGCCCUGCUCACAGAUGCCAGGGACCAGUGGGCUAAGAGUAAUAGAAAGAAAAAUCCAUAGAAAUAUUUUGUUUUGGAAACCAACGUUUAGGCAUAGAUCACUGCCUCAUGUGAUAUUUCAAAGUAAGUAGAAUCAGCUUCAUUAAUCACUCAAUUCUGCCUGUUUUUUUAAAAAUAUAAAUACUAGCUAGACCAAAGACUUGAACAGGAUUAAGUGUGUGUGCAUAUAACAUACAGAGAAAAGCUGUAAUUAUAAGAAAAAUGCCUAUCCUAUUUUCUGACACCUGUCCAAACAAGCAGAGGAAGGUGAAGACAGAAGACCAUUCUGACAUACAUAGAUAUGAGAAAGAGAAAUUAAAAUGCUCUGGAGCAUAUGAGCCAAUGAUCUAUCCUUUGACAGAACUGUUAUUUCUUUUUUUUCUUUUAUUUUUUUGAGAAGGAGCCUGGCUCUGUCGACCAGACUGGAGUGCAGUGGUGUAAUGUCAGCUCACAGUAACCUCCAGCUCCUGGGUUCAAGUAACUCUCCUGCCUCAGCCUCCCCAGUAGCUGGGAUUACAGGUGUGCCACCAUGCCCAGCUACUUUUUGUAUAUUUAGUAGAGAUGGGGUUUUGCUGUGUUGACCAGGCUGGUCUUGAACUCCUGACCUUGUGAUCCGCCCACCUCGGCCUCCCAAAGUUCUGGGAUUACAAGCAUGAGCCAGCGUGCCUGGCCAGAAGUGUUAUUUCUAUAAAGUACAAUUUUGAAGCUCCUUGACAGCUGAAAGUUGAAAAAUUACUCAUUUAUCUUUUUCUUUCCUCCUUAAAUGCCAAGUUUACAUAUUACCCUCCAUACCAGUACGUUACUUUCUACUUAUUCUGCAGGCAGUCAAUUUAAAAUAUGAUGUAUUUGGAUGGGGGCAGUGGCUCAUACCUGUAAUCCCAGUACUUUGGGAGGCCAAGAUGGGUGGAUCACCUGAGUUCAGGAGUUCAAGACCAGCCUGGCCAAUAUGGUGAAACCCCGUCUCUACUAAAAAUACAAAAAUCAGCUGGGCAUGGUGGCAGGCGCCUGUAAUCCCAGCUACUCAGGAGGCAGGAGAGUUGCUUGAACCUAGGAGGCGGAGGUUGCAUUGAGCCGAGAUUGCACCACUGCACGCCAGCUUGGGUGGGAGAGCAAGAUUGUGUCUCAAAAAAAAGAUGUAUUUCCCUCCUUGUGAAAGAAAAUUUUUAAAUAAAAUGAAACAUAUUCUCACCCCAGGACCUUUGUACUUCCUGUUCCCUUCACUUGGAAUACUCUUUCCCCAGAGAGCUACAUGGCUCACUCCUCUACCUCAUUCAAGUCCCUGUUCAGUUGUCACCUCCUUAUAGGGGCUUUUCCAACCACUGUAUCUAAAAUAGCCUCCUCCAACCCCAUCACUCUCUCUCUACCUUUUCUUAUAACAGUCAUUCCUACCUGGCAUUUUAUAUGUUAACUUAUUUUUAUCUGUUGUCCCCAAUAGACUCUAAGUACUACAAGGGCAAAUACAUUGCUUUGUACCUUGGUACUGCUUUGUCUCCAGCACACAGAACACUGCCCUGUACAUAGUAAGUGCUCAAUGUAUAGUAUACAGUGAAUAUAUCUCAAUCUUUUCUUCAUUGUUACAGGCAAGAUAGCACUGUUCCCAUACAAGGGCACAUUCCCACAAGGAUAAACGUGUCAUGGCAAAUCUUAAAAUUAAUUUUCUGGCAAGUACAAUCAAUGGUGCCAUUUUGCUUUAGCUGGAAAUGGGGUGUGGAACUCUAAAGCAUUUUACAAUUAUGUCAGUGAUAAAGAUCACCCAUUUAAAGAUCCCAAAGCUCUUAUAAGGGAAAAAAUAGAACUAUAGCUUACAAGACAACACAGCAAAUCAAAUUUAAAACUUUUAAAUAUAUUUUUAAAAUAAUCUUAACCUGGGGCUUACCGGGAAUAAAAAUGGCUAUGGCCAGUGAUUUCUACCUGCACUACUACAUGGAGCACAAGGGCAGGUUUGGGCAUGAGUUUCUGGAGUUCAAGUUUUGGUUGGACAGAAAGCUUAGAUGUGCCAAGAACAGCAAUUACAAAAACGAUGUCAUGAUCAGAAAAGAGGCUUAUGUGCACAAGAGUGUAAUGGAACAACUGAAGAGAAUUAUUGAUGACAGUGAAAUUACAAAAGAAGGUGAUGCUUUGUGGCCAACCCCCGAUAGGGUUGGCCAACAAGAGCUCGAAAUUGUAAUUAGAGAUGAGCACAUAUCCUUUGCCACAUCAAAAAUAAGUUAUCUUAUUGAUGUAAAUCAAUCGAAGGAUCCUGAAGGUCUUUGAGUAUUUUACUAUUUGGUACAAGACUUCAAAUGUUUAGUUUUCAGUCUCAUUGUAUUACACUUCAAGAUUAAGCCAAUUUAAAUUGUGUUUUUCAAGCUGUUUGUAUAUUUAAUUAAGGGAUGGGAGGAUUUAUUUGUCAUUUACAAUAUUGGGGUUUUUAUGAAUGAGCAGCAAACAAAAAAAAUUGUAUGUAGACUGAAAAUAAGAAAAUACAUUAGCAGGCUUAAUGGUUAUCCUUACUGAGUCCACCUGGGUUGAACAGUCCCCAUAGACAUUAAAUUAUGUAAAUAAAAGCCACCUUUUGUUAAAAAACUUUCCCUAAUAAAACAUACCAACUCCCGAAGAAAAAAAUACAAAAACAUUUGAUUUUUUUUUUCUAGACUUGUACUCUACAGGUCACAUUGUAAGUCAGCUUGCUUUUCAUUCUUUGCAUCUCAACUUAGAUAUAACUUUUCUCUUAAAAGCUUCCCCAUGACCCCCAUAAAUUGGGGUUACAUGUCCCUUUCUAUGUGCCCUCAUGGGCCCUCAACAUUACCCUGCCAAAAGCUGUAGCUCUUUAAAAUUUUGAUUAGGGACAAUUUACACAGGGCAAAAAUCAUGUAAUCCAUAUGUUCCAUCCAAUUCCACUUUCCAAUUAAAAUAAAGACCUCAAUAACCUCAAAAGCAAACUUUUGGAAAUAUUAGUUAGAUCAAAGAUAAUACAAAUUGAAAAGCAUGACCAACUCAAGGCAAAAACCGGUGACACUUUGAUAACAAAGACACUUCCCAAAUGGAAUGAGAAGUCUGUGUAUAUGCACACACAGUGAGAGUUUUGUAAUGUUGAUAAGUAUUGCAUGCGAACAAACUAUUUCAGUGGAAUACUCAACAAACUCAGUCAAAUCUUUAUACCUAAUUUUAGAACCGUUAGUAAACUCACUUAUCUACUAGUAAGUGGGCCAUCGUAUGUGAAAAUCAAGGAACUCUGGAAUAGAAGGGACUGUAUUUUCAAUUUAUUCAUUCAGUGUCCAUCACAUGGAUCCUAUCAACCUUCAGUGGACCAUGGCAUAUACUUUGGGAAAUGCUGCUGUACAACAAUUACUUGAUCAAGUAUUCAUUUUAGCUGCAUGUGCCUGAUACAGUUCACUGCUUAUGAAAGGGAUAUAAAAAUAUGGACGGGCCCUUGAGGAGCUUAUAAAUGAGUAAGUACUCAAUAAAUAUUUAGAUAGAUGAAAUUUUAGAGAUCAAAGCAAUGUAUAUGACUUCCAAUGUAUCAUUAGAAAGACUGAAAAUAGUGCCAGGUGUGGUGACUCACAUCGAUAAUCCUAGCAUUUUGUGAGGCUGAGGCGGGUGGAUCACUUUAGCUCCAUAGUUGGAGACCAGCCUGGGGAACAUGGUAAAACUCUGUCAAAAAGAAGGAAGGAAGGAAAAAAGGAAGGAAGGAAGGGAGGGAGGGAGGGAGAGGGAGGGAGGGAAGGUGUGGGAGAGGAGGGAAGGGGGAAAGAGGAAGAAAGGAAGGAGGAAGGGAAGGGAAGGGGAGAGGAGGGAAGGGCAGAAAACACCUUUGUCCAGUGUUGAGAAUAAAUGCAGUUCUUCCAACUCUGUGAUCUCAAGAUGUGUACCACUGUAUCUAAUGCAGAUGACCUUUAUCAGCAAGACUUGCAUGAACACAUAGAAGGUGAGUUGCAGUGUGAAUAGUGCCUUGCAACUCUGGCAGUAAAACUGAAGUAACUCUCACACGCCUGAGUUUGCAGUUUAUUUGGCUGCAAGUGGCCGUGGAAAGUGGGCAUGAACCAUCACUGUAUGAUAUGCUCAAGGCUCAGGAAUGUGUAUACAGGUUAUUAAGUCAAAGGAGCUGUAAAACACUGCACAAGAGUUGAUUCAGUCUGUUAAAUAUUUUAUACCUGUUACAAAAAUAUCUCACAUCAAAGAAAAUUAGAUACCAUGAAUAAUUCACAACAUGAAUGCUCUUGUGUGGGCAGGAGUUAGGUGGUAUUUGUUUUUAUGAGGUGAAAUCUGCAGUUAUAACAUAGACUUCUUUCUAGAAUGGCAAACAGGAUUCUAAACUGACAACAGGCAGCUGCAGGCCUGAUGUGAAUUUACAGGUUACUUAGUGGUGCUGUGAAAAGAUAGAAUGUGUGGCAGGAGGUUUCCUCACAACUUUUUUCUUUGUCAUUGCUUUUCUUCUUCUUUUCCCUGUGCAGGCUGUAAACAGAUUAAGUGUGGGACACCCCAGAAUCUGAGAAAAAAUACAAAGCUACUUUUGGUAUCUUCCACCAUAGCCUACAAGUUCUCUUUCCUUCCUCCCUUCUUCCCUCCCUCCCUCUCUCCUUCCCUCCAACCCUCCCUUCCUCCCUCCCUCCCUUCCUUCCUUCCUUCUUUUCUUCUUUUGAGACGAGGUCUUGCUAUGUUGACCAGGCAGACUCAAGUGAUCCUCCAGCCCCAGCCUCCCAAAGUUCUGGGAUUACAGGCGCGAAUCUUCAGUACCAGGCUGCUCUUGCUUUUCUACUACCCAAAACUGCUGGACAUGUACACUUGACCUUGAUACCUAUGACUUUAUCUGUUUUCAGGGAGCCAUGAGGGUUAGGGGACUAGGAAAGGAAGGUGGGGCCUGAUGAAUAAGUAUGUCAAUCAUGUUUUUUAUUUUAUGUAUCUUUUGGUAUUUCAACAUUUUGGGAAAUUUGCAGAGACCAGCUCUCCCAGGACUAGCUAAUUCCUAAAGAUAAUAACUUGCCUAUAAGCAUGACUUUUAUACACAAACCAACCAAACUCAAGCCCAUAUUCACUAAUCACCUCCUUAUCUAUCUCUCACAUACUAGCCAAUAUUUCCCCUGUGCUAAAUUAUCUCAAGGCCAGGUAUUAGGCAACCACAGACCACCCAGAUCACCCAGAGCCUGCUAGAAUUAUUCAUACUACCCUAUGCUAGGAUGUUUACUCUGCCUUCCCUCACCUUUCCUGUAGAAACAAGGCUCUAGCCUAAGUGAUCUCCUGGCUCCUUUCUCCCUCCUGACAGAACCUGCAUGAUGUGUCUUCCCUCCUCCUCUCAGGAAGAGCAAGUAAUAAAUUUUACUUUCAAUAGCAUCAGCCUCUCUUUGUUGUCACUCAGUCGAUACCUCCAUAAAUUAAAAUCCCGCAGAUGCAAAUUGAGAAAAUGGACUUUUGUAGCCAUUUUUAGGAACAUGGCAGCUUGGCUUCAAAUCUUGCUCAGAAACAAACUACUUUCCUGAAAGCCUCAUCAGUGACCAUAACACACCUUAUGCAGGAUGGGAGCCAAGCAUUCUCUCUGCAUGUCUUCCUACUUCACAUGUGACAUAGGGUUGCAUGGCCAUGCACAUUCCUGUGUUGACUUUCUAUAGCAACAUUGACGUUCUGAAAAAUUGUGUGACCUCCUGAAGAAAGUAGGAAUGCAGAUCUGUAAAGGGGAGUAAAGGUAGAGCCCUGUUCUUCCAAUUCCUCACACAGAGCCACUGAAACAACGACACCAAUGACAAGCAUGGCUGUAAAUGUUUAUUUACUGAGUGCCUCUCUCUGUGCUUCAUGUUUUACAUGUAUGCUCUCACUAAAUCCUUGCAACAAGGCCAUUAGAUAAGUCCUAUUAUUAGCCCAUUUUAGAGAUGGGAAUUUAGUGUUGAAAGACACUGGUCACAUAGUUGGUAACUAGCAUCUUGGGACUUGACAGACCAAGGCUAAAUUCAUAGCCCAUGCUCUUAACCCCUACUCUAUACCAUCUGUCAAAGCUGAGUAAGACUACCUCCCCCUCAUGACACAAAAAUUCUAGACUCCAGUUCCCUUUGUGAAUGAAGCAUCAAUCUGAAAACCUCAAACCCUACUUGGCAUCUUCAAUUGGCUGGUGGAUGGUACCAUGUUUCCUUCCAAACCAGACAUAUUUUUGGUAGGUUUUCAGAAACAGGAUCAGCUCCAGGCAACAUUGUGAAAAAGAUAAAGCUCUUGGUUUCUGGUGAUUGCUUUUCUGGAAUUUAGUGGCCUCACUACGUCUGCAAAUGACACAGAUGCUCUACUCCCGGUACUGUCCUCUGCGGUCUGUGCCGUAGGCCCCAAAUUCAUUCUCUACAUUCCUAAACAUAUCAGAAUUCUCAUUCCUGUUUUUUGAAAUCCAUUAAGGGCUCUGGAUUCAAAUGAACCUGGCUUCUAAUUUCAGUUAUAUAGCUUUCAGCUGCAUCACCUUGAGCCCCAAUUUCCUUAUUUGUAACACUGCCACAAUAACACAGACUUUCUCAGUGUUUUUUAAAUAAGAAUAAAAAUGAAAUAUCCAGUGUGUUGUAUCAAGAUCAAUUCCUAACACAUGGUGCCCCAUAAUGAUAGCUCAGCCAUGAGGAAAUGUACCCAGUUUUCAUAUAUGCUAUUUAAAUAAAAAGUAUUAACACUGGUUUCCAGAACCACAAAAUCAGUUUUUUUCCAUUAUAGAUAUGUGUCACAAAUAUGUCUAGAUAGACUAACCAGGAAAGUAGGUACUGGCCUAGCACAUUUGCUGGGAAUUCAAAUAGUGUCUUGAAUUGUAGCUCCCAUAAUUCCCAUGUGUCAUGGGGGUGGGUUUUUCCCGUGCAUUCUCAUGAUUGUGAAUAAGUCUUAUGAAUCUGAUGGUUUUAUAAAGGGGAGCUCCCCUACACACACUCUCUUGCCCGCCACCAUGUAAGCUGUGACUUUGCUUCUCCUUUGCUUUCCGCCACGAUUGUGAGGCCUCCUCAGCCACGUGGAACUGUGAGUCCAUUAAACCUCUUUCCUUUAUACAUUACCCAGUCUUGGGUAUGUCUUUGUUAGCAGCAUAAGAACAGACUAACAGGAAGUGCUAUUAAAACUAGACAGCAGAAUAAAUAAAAAUUAAGCAGUUGCUCUAAUAAGAGAUGUAAGAGAAUGAAAUCUACUUUAUAAUUUUGCCAAAUGUUUGGAGCUCUCAGGUCAUAAAAUUCUAGGAGAAUUUUGUAAUAAAUUCAUCAAAGGAAAAGCACUAAAUCAAGCGUCGUAAGACAAGUGUCCUCAUCCCUGCUCUGCCACUUAUUGGCCAUAUGACCUUGGAUAUAUCACUUGACCUCUAUGGAUGUCAAUUUCCUUCUCUGUAAAACGAGAAUGUGGGACCAGAUAAUCCCAAGAUCUUUUCCAGUUGUACCACUCUUUGAGUCAAUGACUCCGCCAUUAUCCCUCCCCUUGUUCACUGAGAUUUUGUUGCCACAAUAUUUAGUGUUGCCCCCAAGUAACAUCACGUAGCAAAGUCCAGUCACGCACAGGAAUUCCAGGCACUGUGACUGUGAAUUCUAAUCCCUCUUUGGCCAUGCCAUCAUUGAAUGACCUUGGGCAGGCACCUAACUUCAGCUAACUGCCUCGCCAGCCCUCCAGGGAUUUGCCAGAUAAAUUUCCAACUCCUUACUCUCCACAAGCUGCCCUCCAAAAUGCCUUUACAAUGCUUAACUUGGGACCACCCAUGACAAAUCAUAAAACUAGGCUUUUUCUCUGAAUAAUUCUCAAUCAUAGUAUGUUUCUGCCUCAAACAUAAAAGCCUUCUUUUCUUCCUAUAAAAUCAUAACCGUCUUUCAAGUGAGGUAAAAUAUAAGUGAAAACUUAAAAGGCUGCAAAAUUUGUCAAAUCUGUGGCAAACUCAAGGCUGGGAAAGAGAACUGAUACACAUUGUAUAAUAGACCCACCAUGAUUUCAUUAGGCUAGAACAAAGGGUGGAGACUAAGAAAAAUUAGUACGAACCCUCAGCAGAUAUUUUUGGGCAGAUAAAUUGGUACUACAAUCCCUGACCUACAUUUACUGGAAAAUAAGUCCAAUAUUUCUAUUGUUAAUAAUAAUAUAAUAGAUGUCAUUUGUUGUGCACAUAUUGAGUUAGGCAUUCUACUAAGGGAUUUACAUGCUGUAUCUGUUAGAAUGCUUUCAGCUGCAAGUAAGAGUACCUAAUAUAAGGGGCUUUGUGGUUUCCUGUCUCACUCUGGCUGAUGAGUGAUUGGUCCCAGGGUUGGCUAACUGAGCAGCAUGACACCACGGAGAAUCCAUCCUCCAGCUCUUCUAUUCUCCAUGUGUGGGUAACAUCUCCCUUUGUGGCUACACAAUGGCUGCAAUGAUUCCAGCUGCCACACAGAUAUUUCAACAUCUACCAAAGCACACCUCCCACAUAUCUCUUUUUAUUGGUUAGGAAAACUGUACCCAAAAACUCCCUAAUUUCUUCUGACAUUUCAUUGUCCAGGAUUAAAUCACAUUACCCAUACCGUAACCAAUCAAUGACAAAGUAAAUGGGACUGCCAAUAUUAUCUUAGAUCAAUCAUGGUUCACCUCUGGUUCACCUUCCUUGAACACAUGGAAUGGUGACCACCCCACCCAAACAAAACUGAGCCCCACUGGCAAAGAAGGGGAGGGUGACCUGGGAAUUGGCAGCUGGGUAGAUAACAGUGUCCACUAUACAUACAUUAUUGUUUCAACAAAUAUCCUCCGAGGAAUUAUUAUCUUCAUUUUGUAGAUGAGAAAAUUGAAACUCAGAGAAGUCAAGUUAAUUUCCCAUGGUCACACAGCUAAAAGCUGAGAAAUUCUGUGUUCUUAACCACCAUUAUUGAUAGUUCUGAAGUUUCAGUGUAUGUAAGAAACAUUAGCAAGUUUAGUACAAACACAGAAUCUCAUCUCCACACCCAGAAAUUGAUUCAAUAGUCUAGGAGAGGAGCCCUCAGUCUUCAUUUUUAACAAAUAAUUUCAGUUAAUUUGGAUACAGGUGGUCUAUGAACCACCUUUUAAAAGAAUAAGAUUGGCUAUUACUUGAACAGAAGUCUGAUUUAAAACAAAAACCAAAGCAAAAACUAUAAUUUUCUGGAAGUCCCAGACUCACUAUCUACAAAAGCCAUUUGUCUGUCUAAAGUAUCAACACAGAAACAUCUCAUCCCAGUCCCUCUAUAGUCUGCACAGGUCAGACUCUAUAUAGUGUCUAGAUCUUCUUCUCCAAUUUAAGAAGGUUAGAGAUAAAACUUUCAGAUGAGGGAAACGAGCCCAAGAGAGAUAUAACAGGUCAUCUAAGUAACCACUGAAGAAUCAUAUGGUUCAAUGGGAAUCGUAUAGUUCAUAUGGGAAGAUUUACGGUUGAGGGCAGUCAACUUUUAUGGGUAGGAGUGAGAGAAAGCCAACAUCAUCCUUUAAACAUUGACUAGGCUAUUACAUGUAAAAAACACUCAGAGGUAGGAUCAAUGAUAAGAAAUUAUGAGGCAGCUCAUUUUUUUUUUUAACUAUAAAGGAGUAAAACUAAUAAUUAACUUGGUCAACAAUGGUAAAGGCUUUCCACCUCACAAAACAUUCUGAAUGCAUUCCAGCAGAGGCUGGCAGACCCUGUGUCUGUCACCAAUGUUGUAGAAGGGAGUCCUCUAUUGUAAAGAAGCCUUGUGCAGAUGACUCCUAAAAUAUGCUGUGAGCCUUCAGCCACAUCCUUUGCAAACUGACUUGUAUUCCUCUUUCAUUUUUUUUCACUAUGGUCAUUUCUGCUGAACACUUUGGGGUGCCAUUUAAUUUCUAAUGCGUUAAUGUCCUAUUUUCCCAAAUUGGUAGAAUGUGUCUGACUCUUCUUUGUGUGUUCGUGGGACAUAGUUCAAAACCAUGCUCAUCAUAGGUACUUAAUUAAUAGUUGGUAAAUGUAAAAGGAUGGUGUAGAAUGGUGGGUAAGCACAUCCAGAUGAUACAUAGAAGGUAACUGUUAGUACUUCUGCUUCAUUUACUACCAUUCUUCCCUCUCUGGACAAGAGGCAUGAAGGCUAUAUUUGCAUUAUGCACCCUCCUCUCUGGCCAUGAUUGACUGGGUCAGAAAUUAACAUCUGAUUCAAGCUAGGCCCAUAAGACUGGCACUAAGAUAUUAAGACAAUCUUUUAAGGUGGCUAUAAUUAUAACAUGUGAGCUAAGAGCCAUGAUUUAUUGAAAAACAAUGAGGCAGAUGACAGGCAAAGACUGAGUUCCCUGGCUUUCUGUCUCCAGGGUCCCCAUCCCUUCCUGAGGCUCAUGUAUAAGUGUGCUUUUGGUCUCUAAGAUGAACCCCCCUGUCUUUGUAAAAUUCUUCCUCCCUCCUUCCCUUCCUUCUUUUCUUCUUUUAGAUUUUACUGAAGUUGGUUUUAGUUCAUCUAGAUCAGUAUCUUGAAUCCAAAUAAAAUUGUUCCUGAGUUUGCUGUUGAGGCUACUGAUGCAAAUAACUCAUGCUCUUAGAAUUCCAAGAAAAGCCAGGCUUUUGGAGACCCCAGUGACUAUAGAGCAUUUAGACCUUUGCAUGUUACCAGAUAUUUUGGAAGGUUUGAGACUGGUGCUACUGCAAGCUGAUUUUCUCACUACUCCAAACUCUAACCUGCAGGGGCAUCAAAGCUCUUAUGAAGACUCCACCACCAGAUCACAGGUCUCUUUAUAACGAAGAUCUCAUCCCCAAUAGUAGAAAUUUUGAGGUAGGUAGGAACUAACGUCUAGUGCAAUGAAGCAAGGCCGGCCCAAAUAACAGAUGGGAAUACUUGGAGGUAUCUACAACUCCAUUAUGCUACAAAGUUUCUCCGUACAACAUCUUGGGUCUACAUAAGGUAACACCACUGUAAGGUACAAAUUGUCUUUCGAAAUCACAUUUAUCAGUGAGCAGUCAGUCACAUGAAUCUUUGUACUUCAGUUUAGUGGCAAAACCAUUUCCCAAUACGCCUGUGUUUUUCUUAAUCUGUGCCCCAUGCUGUUAGCCAGAGCAUGUGGCCCAUCACUUUGACAUACUUAAACAGUCUGAACAAAUCCAGUCAAUGCUUUUCCAAAACCCAAGUCAAUCUUGGUUAGAAGGGCAUCCCUGACUGUAAGGGGUAGGUAGAAAUGAAUAGUCCAGGAGUAGGGAAGGAAAUCAUUGAGAAUUCCAUGUUUUCCUCUCCUGCAAUUAGCAUAUCUCUUAUGUUGGCUAAAAAUGGCAAAUCACUAAUACAUGAGAGAUAAGAAGGAACCAGUCCUUUCCCCCUUUGCUCCUAUUCCUUAGAGUUCUGAUGAUCAUACUUUGCCUAGGACAUUUGGAGGCCCCUGCCACAGUCCUUUUCAUCAGCUCUUCCUUUUUGAUCCUUUUGUUUUUCCCCAGGCAUAACUACCACCUGUGCUGUCUUCUCAAGUUCCCUUAGGAAAGGAAUCACGUAUCAUCAAAGUCCUCAUGUUGUAGAAUGAAAUCUCUCUGACUCAUUGUAUAGUUUAAAGAUACAAAACUGUGAAUUCUCUUAAUUAAAAAAGUAGAACCCGGGAAACCAACUCAACUUCUUGCUCUGAAUCUGAACAGAAGUGCUAUUUGGUGAAAGCACCUCCUCAGAUGUAUGACCAGUUCAGCAUCCACAGACAGUAGUGAAGAAUAACUUUAAUAAUCAAUACUCUAUAAGGAUAGGGACUGUCAUCAGAAGAGACACCAAAAUCUUCCCUUGUCAAAUAAAUGAACAAAAAUCACUCCCAUUUGCUCACUGAUGCUUGAAAUUUCUUUAACAUGAAUUAAAUAUUUCUGGAGAACCUAUAUGUAAUUUUGGUUAAAAGUUUAGGUAUUUACCUGGUAAACUGAAUGCAACAGACAAGAAAAAGAAAUAAAGGGUAUCCAAUUAGGAAAAGAGGAAGUCAAAUUGUCUCUAUUUGCAGAUGACAUGAUUGUGUAUUUAGAAGACCCCAUCAUCUCAGCAUAAAAUCUCCUUAAGAUGAUAAGCAACUUCAGCAAAGUCUCAGGAUACAAAAUCAAUGUGCAAAAAUCACAAGUAUUCCUAUAUACCAAUAACAUAACAAACAAACAGAGCCAAAUCGUGAGUGAACUCCCAGUCACAAUUGCUACAAAGAGAAUAAAAUACCUAGGACUACAACUAACAAAGGAUGUGAAGGACCUCUUCAAGGAAAACUACAAACCACUGCUCAAGGAAAUAAGAGAGGACACAAACAGAUGGAAAAACAUUCCAUGCUCAUGGUUAGAAAGAAUCAGUAUCAUGAAAAUGGCCAUACUGCCCAAAGUAAUUUAGAGAUUCAAUGCUAUCCCCAUUAGGCUACUAUUGACCUUCUUCACAGAAGUGGAAAAAAAAACACCUUAGACUUCAUAUGGAACCAAAAAAAAGAGCCUGCAUAACCAAGACAAUCUUAAGCAAAAAGAAAAAAGCUGGAGUCAUCACAGUACCUGACUUCAAACUAUACUACAAGGCUACAAUAAUCAAAACAGCAUGGUACUGGUACCAAAACACAGAUAUAGACCAAUGGAACAGAACAGAGGCCUCAGAAGUAAUGCUACACAUCUACAACCAUUGGAUCUUGACAAACCUGAUAAAAACAAGCAAUGGGGGAAGGACUCCCUGUUUAAUAAAUGGUGUUGGGAAAACUGCUAGCCAUGUGCAGAAAGCUGAAACUGGACCACUUCCUACACCUUAUACAAAAAUUAACUCCAGAUGGAUUAAAGAUUUAAACAUAAGACCUAACACCAUGAAAACCCUAGAAGAAAACCUAGGCAAUACCAUUCAGGACAUAGGCAUAGGCAAGGGCUUUAUGACUACAAAGCACAAAAAGCAAUGGUAACAACAGCCAAAAUAGACAAAUAGGAUCUAAUUAAACUUAAGAGCUUCUGCACAGCAAAAUAAACUAUCAUUAGAGUGAACUGGCAACCAACAGAAUGGGAAAAAAUUUUUGCAAUCUACCCAUCUGACAAAGGGCUAAAAUUUAGAAUCUACAAAGAACUAAAACAAAUUUACAAGGAAAAACAACCCCAUCAAAAAGGGGGCAAAUGAUAUGAACAGACACUUUUUAAAAGAAGACAUUUAUGCUGCCAACAAACAUAUGAAAAAAUGCUCAUCAUCACUGGUCAUUAGAGAAAUGCAAAUCAAAAUCACAUUUAGAUACUAUCUCACACCAGUUAGAAUGGUGAUCAUUAAAAAAUCUGGAGACAACAGUUGCUGGAGAGGAUGUGGAGAAAUAGGAACACUUUUACACUGUUGGUGGGAAUGUAAAUUAGUUCAACCAUUGUGGAGGACAGUGUGGCGAUUCCUCAAGGACCUAGAAAUAGAAAUUCCAUUUGACCCAGCAAUCCCACUACUGUGUAUAUAUCCAAAGGAUUAUAAAUCGUUCUAUUAUAAAGACACAGGCACAUGUAUGUUCACUGUGGCACUGUUUACAAUAGCAAAGACCUGGAACCAACCCAAAUGCCCAUCAGUGAUAGACUGGAUAAAGAAAAUGUAGCAUAUAUACACCAUGGAAUACUAUGCAGUCAUAAAAAGGGAUGAGUUCAUGUCCUUUCCAGGGACAUGGAUGAAUCUGGAAAGCAUCAUUCUCAGCAAACUGAUGCAAGAACAGAAAACCAAACACUGCAUGUUCUCACUCAUAGGUGGGUGUUGAACAAUAACACAUGGAUAUAGGGAGGGGGGCAUCAUACACUGGGGUCUGUUGGGGGGUGGGGGGCUAGGGGAGGGAUAGUGGGGGUGGGGAGAUAGGAGAGGGAUAACAUUGGGAGAAAUACCUGAUGUAGGGGACAGGGGGAUGGAGGCAGCAAACCACCAUGGCAAGUGUAUACCUAUGUAACAAUCCUGCAAGAUCUGCACGUGUACCCCAGAAAUUAAAGUAUAUAUAUAUGUAGUAAAAAGUUUAAGUAUUUACUUGUUAUUGCAACUAGGCAAUAGGUAUAAAAAUUUUUCAAAAUAUGCAUACCCUUUGACCUUACACGUCCACUUCCAGAAAUUUAUUCCUAGUAAAUAAUCUGAAAGUGGCACAAAAAUGUCUGUAUGUGAAGCUCCAUUAUAGCUUUGCAAAAACUUUUUAUAAUGCAAAUUUCAAACAUACACAAAAGUAAAGAGGAUAAUAUAAUGAGCCACUGUGUGUAUACCAACCAGCUUUACUGAUCAUCUACAUUUCGCCCAGCUCCUGUUUUAUUUAUUCCUUUUCAUUAUUGUUUUUGCCGGAAUGUUCUCAUUGCAAGCCCAGCCAUCUGGCAUUAGUCUCUUAAAUACUUUAGUUGUAAUAUUUUAAAAAUAAAUUUUUGGGGGAAAUUAAUAUUAGCCUGAUAUCUUUCUUUCACCAUUCAAAUUAGCAAUAAUUUCUGAAUAUCCUCUAAUACA